rnacentral:lncRNA from 1 species
GUGGCGGCUCUGCAAUACCCCAAGCUCUGGAGGGCUGGGGGCCUACUAGGUCAGGUCGGCUGUAGGAUUCUGCUCCAGGGUUGGCGGCUGCUUCUUUCUGGCCUGGCUGCCACUGAGUAGCCGAGGGGCCGCCGUGACCCUCUGACUGAUUGACUGGCUGGCUGCCUACGUCGGCGCUCCUCAGGGCCCCAAGCUCCUCAGGCCGAACUUCGGGAAGGCGACCGGCAGCCUCGGGCAGGGGAGACAGGACUGUAUGUCAGAGAAGAGACGGCGCUUGGACGCCAGGAAUCCUCUGAAGCAGGAGACUGCCCUAUCCAGGUUACCCUUCCCGAGGGGAAACCAGGGUCUCCUUCAGAAAGCUGAGGCAGGCCGGGCGCGGUGGCUCACGCCUGUAAUCCCAGCACUUUGGAAGACCGAGGCGGGCGGAUCACCUGAGCAGAAGAUGACUCAAGACCGGCCUCUGCUUGCCGUGCAGGAGGCGCUGAAGAAGUGCUUCCCCGUGGUGGAGGAGCAGCAGGGCCUGUGGCAGAGUGCCCUGCGGGACUGCCAGCCCCUCCUGUCCUCCCUCAGCAACCUGGCGGAACAGCUGCAGGCCGCACAGAACCUGCGGUUUGAGGAUGUGCCGGCGCUUCGGGCCUUCCCAGAUUUAAAAGAGCGGCUGAGGCGUAAGCAGCUGGUGGCUGGU